rnacentral:rRNA from 1 species
AGAUUGAACGCUGGCGGCAUGCCUAACACAUGCAAGUCGAACGGGAGUAGCAAUACUCUAGUGGCGGACGGGUGAGGAAUACGUAGGAAUUUGCCCUUAAGUGGGGGAUAACCCGGGGAAACCCGGAUUAAUACCGCAUGACCUCGAAAGAGUAAAGUGGGGGAUCGCAAGACCUCACGCUUUUGGAGAAGCCUACGUCGGAUUAGCUAGUCGGUGAGGUAAUGGCUCACCAAGGCGACGAUCCGUAACUGGUCUGAGAGGAUGAUCAGUCACACCGGAACUGAGACACGGUCCGGACUCCUACGGGAGCAGCAGUGGGAAUAUUGGACAA